CACGUAGGGCGCGAGCGUUGUCCGGAAUUAUUGGGCGUAAAGAGCUCGUAGGCGGUCAGUCGCGUCUGCUGUGAAAACUCGGGGCUUAACUCCGGGCCUGCAGUGGGUACGGGCUGACUAGAGUGCGGUAGGGGAGACUGGAAUUCCUGGUGUAGCGGUGAAAUGCGCAGAUAUCAGGAGGAACACCGGUGGCGAAGGCGGGUCUCUGGGCCGAUACUGACACUGAGGAGCGAAAGCGUGGGGAGCGAACAGG
rnacentral:rRNA from 1 species